GAGGAAUAUUGGUCAAUGGACGGAAGUCUGAACCAGCCAUGCCGCGUGAAGGAUGAAGGCGUUCUGCGUUGUAAACUUCUUUUAUCUGGGAAGAAACCACAGAUUUCUAUUUGUGUUGACGGUACCAGAGGAAUAAGCACCGGCUAACUCCGUGCCAGCAGCCGCGGUAAUACGGAGGGUGCGAGCGUUAUCCGGAUUUACUGGGUUUAAAGGGUGCGUAGGCGGGCUAUUAAGUCAGAGGUGAAAUCUCCGGGCUCAACCUGGAAACUGCCUUUGAUACUAUUAGCCUUGAAUUAUGUUGAGGUUGGCGGAAUAUAACAUGUAGCGGUGAAAUGCUUAGAUAUGUUAUGGAACACCGAUUGCGAAGGCAGCUGGCUAAACAUAUAUUGACGCUGAUGCACGAAAGCGUGGGUAGCGAACA
rnacentral:rRNA from 2 species